rnacentral:lncRNA from 1 species
UUGACAUUUACCUAGGCACAGCUCACAGGCAUGAUAAUGACUCUCAUAUGUGGACCCCACAAGUAGGAGUAAUUUUGACUCUUGUAACUUGCUUUAGAAACAUAAGUGAUGUCUUAGAUCUCUUUCUGGCGAAAAGGUCACAGAAGAUUAUAACAGCCUCAGAUAAUUUGCAGCCCUUGGCUUGUACAGAGAGUGUCAGAACAGAACCCAGCAGAAAGGAGAAAUUGUGAGUCUCAUAUGUACACCCAGCUGACUGUAAGGACUGUCACCAUCUUACAUACAUGAAGCCAACUGUCACACAUGAAAAGAGGACAUGUGUGGUAUUGUAAAUCUCAUCUCGAAUAUUCUCUCAGUGUGACUGUGAUAUAAAUCUUUGCCAAGCAUCUGUGUGAUUUGACUCUCCAAACUGGUUCCAGCCCAUAUAUACGGGAUUGUGAUCUCUACCUGGGCCAACCUCUAGAUAAUGUGACUCUCCUGCCUGGGCCCUUCUCUCAGUAAGGGUUGUGACAUAUCACUGGAUCUAACACCCAAGUGAUGUUACAUUCUUGCCUGGACCAUGCACAGAGACAUCAUUGUGACAUAUCACUGUGUCCACCACUUAGGUGAUGUAACUCUCCUCUCUGGAAUGGACCCUGAAUACGGAGUGGUAGUGACAUCUUCCUAGGCCAGACACACAGGUGUUGGUACUCUUUUUCCAGGGCUAUGUUUCAAGGAGGGCAUUGUGACAUAUCUCUGGACCUAUCACCGAGGUGAUAUGAUUCAACGCUUGGGCCUCACCGACGUAGAACAUUGUGACAUAAAAGUUAAACCUGCACCAAAGGUGUUGUAACUCUUUCACCUUGGUCCUGUCCUAAGGGAGCCCUGCAACAUAUCUCAGGACCCAGCACUCAGGAACAUUGUGACAUCGUUGGACAUAGCAUCUAGGAAAUGUGACUCUUCUCUCCUGCCUAGGUCCUGCCCACUAAAGGAAUUGUGACAUACCACUGAGUGCAAAACCUAGCCCUGUCUACAGUGGACAUGGUACCACAUGACUUGAGGCUGUAUCCAGGUGAUGUGACUCUUCUGACUUGGCCCUGCCUGCAAAGGAAAUUAUAAUAUAUCCUGAGCUCAGAAUCCAGGCGAUGAGACUCUCCUGCCUCUUUUCUGCCCACAAGUGAAAUUGUGACUUAUACCUGCGUUCAGCUCACAUGCACAAAUAUAACUAUUAUACCUGGACCCAGAAAGGAGAGAUAUUUGGACUCUUAUAGCCAGUCCUAUGGCCAUAAGUAAAGUAAAGGGUCCCCUGUUUGUAUAAAGCUCACAGAGGAUUAUGACACUCAGGCACAUCAUAUAAAGCCUGAGUGGUACAAAGAGUGUCAUAGCAGGGAACAGCAACCAGGUGCGAUUGUGACUCUUGGAUGCUCACCCAGCUGACCCGAUUGUCAUUCUCUCACAAGAACAGGGCCUACAUACAAGGCCAUGACCAUAGAUGAAAUUUUGACAUACGUGGACCAUACACCUAAGCGAAGGUGCCUGGGCCUGCCUACAAAGGGCACUUUUACGUAUUACUAGGACCAGCACGCAGGUGAUAUUGCACCAUAAACCUGAGACCAGUAUUCAUGCCUGAAGCCAGGACAUGUUCAGAAUGGUGACUCUCAUCUCUGGGCCUUUCCACAGGUGUUUUUGUGACAUAUACCUUUGCCCAGCUCCUGAGUGAUUUAAUAACUCUUCUUAGGUCUAGCACACACAUGAGAUUUUGACAUAUACCAGGGCCAGGCUCCUUAGUGAUUUGACUCUCUUGUUUUAACAGUGUCCUCAGCGGGGGAUUGUAGCAUACCUUUAUACCCAGCAUCUAGGUUACAUGAUUCUCCUCUCCUGCCUGAACCCUGCUUCCUGUGGAGAUUGUAGCAUUUCUAAGCACUGCUUCCAAAUGAUAUGACUUUCUUACCUGAACCCUGUUCGCAUGAGGCAUUGUGACGUAUCUCUGGGCCCAUAAUUUAAGUGACAUGAAUUUCCUAUCCUGCCUGGACACUGCCCACAAGAGGCAUUGUGCCUCAGAGCUGGGCCUAGCACCCAUGUUAUGCGAAUUUUCUGCCAGGGCCUUGCCUACAAGGAUAAUAUUGGAAUAUUUCUGGCCCAGCAUUUAGGUGAUGUGGCUGUCCUUUCUGUCUCAAAACCACAGAGGGGAUUGUGACAUAUACCUAGGCACAGCUCACAGGCAUGAUAAUGACUGUCAUAUGUGGACCCAGCCAGUAGGAAAAUUUGGACUCUCAUAACUAGGUUUAGGGACAGGAGUGAUAUCCUGGAUCUUUUUCUGGUAAAAAGGUCACAGAAGACUAUAAUACCCACACAUAUUUUAUAAAGCUUUUGGAUUGUAUAGAGUGUCAUAACAUGGCCCAGUACACAGGUGAAAUUGUGAGUCUCGUAUGCACACCCAGCUCACAGUAAAGACUGUUACUCUCUCACAUGAAUGAAGCCAACUGUCAUAUAUAAAAACAGGAUGUGUAUGGUAUAGUAAAUCUUUUUCCUGAAAUUUUCUGCCGUGUGAUUGUCAUAUAAGUUUUUGCCAAG